rnacentral:lncRNA from 10 species
AAUAUCUACUCAUGGGAUUGCUGGGCUGUAUGAUUGGAUUAAUUAUCAUGGCACGUUGUCUCAAAUCAGUUGACCAUCUGUGUGUGAAUCUAUUUUUGGAGUCUAUGUUCAAUAAAUUUAAAAGGAGUUUAUUGAUUUUCUUAGAGGCAGUUUUUGGUUGAAUCAAUUUUUAUUGAUCCUGUUUUUAAAUUCAUCAGUUUCUGUUCUGAUAGUUACUAUUUCGUGUCUUCUGUUUACUUUGGGUUUUUUUUUCUUCUAGAAACAGAGGCCACUGAUUUGAGACCUUUUGUCUUUUCUAAUGGAGUUGAGUGCUGUAGAUCUUCCCCAAGGUCCUGCUUUAUCAGCAUCCCACAACUUUUUAUCUGCCAUGUUUUCAUUUUCAAUUACUUUAAAAUGCUAAUUUUUCUUUUGAUUUAUUUAGAGUAUAGUUCAGAGGUCAGCCAGAUAUUUGAGUGUACUUUGUACCAGCUUUUUAAGUUUCUCCCACCUGUUCCCUUUCCCUCUCCAUUCAAUUUUCAGCUGCUCUGGCAGUCUUGAACACCAAUGUCACUCCACGGUCUAAUAUAAUAGCUGCUUGCUGAUGGACCUUGCUCUUUGUUGUGAACUAGGGGAAUUCCUUCAGGAGAAAAGCCAAAUAAAUGUGGAUAUCACCCAGUGUGAUUUUCUUCAUUCAAGAGCUAUAUCUCCUGCAGUUUCUGCCUGCUCUUAGCUGUUCUGCAUUGCCUUCAAAGAAUUGUUUUUUCAAAUUUUGUCUAAGCAACAGGGAGUUUCAGGUAAACUUAGAUUUCACUUAAAUCCAAAGUCCUCAUUUUAUAGAUGAGAACACUGAGGUCCAGAGAGGCUGAGUGACUUGUCUUCUGAGGUGGAUAAAAUCAGUGGAAUAGCCUGUUGUGAUCUCCAGGUGUGACUGUUCAUUGGGUCUAGAGUUGGCCUCUAUGAUUCUCUAGUUACCUUUUAACCCACUUUGCUAUUUGAGGUUUCAAAUUAUAUUUUUGAUGUUUCUGGUACAGGGGGCAGCAUCUUCUACUAUGUGCAUCUACAUUGGAUGGCAGUGGAGCAACACAGAUUGUUUUCUGACAAAAAUCAGCCAAGUACUAGGAGAGGCAGGACUUUAGAAGUGGAGGAGAUGGAGAAGGAAGCUUAGGUUACUAUGGAGUGUGCAAAAAGGUCCUGUGGAUUUAGAUACCACCACACACAAAUGGUAUGUAAUACUCACUUGAAGACAAAUCAGCCAGAGGGAUCUAACAGCAUUGACCCAUUCUCUGGUCUUCUAGCAUCCAUCAUAGUUUUGUGCUCCUUUUCCAUGAAACACAGCUGUUGUUGGAAGGUACCUGCCCAGAUAAGGACUGCAUUUCCUCUAGCAUCCAGAUGGGACCAAAUGACUGCUGGCCAAUAGAAGUGAGUGGAAAGGACUGACUCCAGUUCCAGGUUGGGCCUCCAACUGCUCUGGGCACGUCGAUGGAACAGAACACCACCUCCACCCCAAUACCACCAAUUCAACUUUACAUGAAUUAUAAGCGAGAAAUAACUUGGACUGUGUUAAGUCAUUGAGUUUCUGGGGUUUAACUGUUAUUAUAGUUAAGAAUGACUUUAACUAAUAUAGUCAAUGACAUCUAACUGGAGUUAUGAAAUUCAAUUUCUACUUAGAGUAAUUGAAGCAAAGGUUGUGGGGGAGGGGAGGAGGGCAGCACACCAUGAAAUCAGAGAUCCCCAGUACGUGUUAGUUCAUCAGUCAAUCAGUCUUAAGGUCAGGGUGUAGUGUGGGCAGCAGUUGCCUCCCUCUCCCCACAGAACACCCUGAGAAUAGGAAGUUAGAGUAGUCGCAUCUUAUUACUUACAAAACAUUACCUCAAAAUGCAAACUACCCCCUGGACCCAAACUCUCUACAAUCACCAGGUUCCAUAAACUAUAAUCUACUCUGUUUUCUGGAAGAAAAUAUUAACCUGUUAAAAUUCCCUGCACAGAGAGGAAACUUUUUCUGGGAGGUAUUCCUGAACUCAUUUUGCCAACUUCCAGAUGAACAAAACUAAAGUUUCUUUUUGCUUCUUCCAAAAACAUAAAUUAUCAAAUAACAUUUAUAACUUGAAAAAGAAUCCUAGAAUAUUUUCAUGAAUAAUAAUUAGAAGAGUAAUGUUCACAUGGGAAGGGCGUCUUUUCUCUGCUGUGUGCAUAGGACCCUGGGACCCUGGGAUUUAAGUCAUAUGGAACUUGGUCAACUCCUCCAAAAUGCUCCCAGCGCUCACAGGGGCUGCCUUGGUGUUUGGAAGGAGGUGGUGCCAAAGCAGUUGGUUUGCUGGAUUUUGACUUUCUUUUUUUAAAGUGGUAUUUGCAAAUACUACCCCGAGGGCAAUGGUUAAUGGAUUUGACCUUUGGGUCAUGGGGGCCAGGGAGCAGCACUCAUAGAAGCUGUGUGUGUGUGUGUUGCGGGGCGGGGGCGGGCUGCUGACUGGCUCUGCCACUCACCUCUCAGGCCUUAGGAAUACUGAAGAUUCUCACCUACGAUUGGUGGCGAUGGUGGGAGUGGUCCUUAAAACUGCUUUAUAGAAAAUCAUAGUGGAGGCCAGGCGCCGUGGCUCAUGCCUGUAAUCCCAGCACUUCGGGAGGCCGAGAUGGGCGGACCACGAGGUCAGGAGAUCAAGACCAUCCUGGCUAACACGGUGA